UGCAGUCGACGGCAGCGGGCAAGUAGCUUGCUACUUUUGCCAGGCGAGUGGCGAACGGGUGAGUAAUGUAUCGGAACGUGCCCAGUUAGCGGGGGAUAACUACGCGAAAGCGUGGACUAUAUACCGCAUACGCCCUACGGGGGAAAGGGGGGGAUCUUAGGACCUCGUACAGCGUGAUCUGGAGCGGUCACGAUAUCGGAUGUAGGCUAGUUGGUGGGGUAAAGGCCUACCACGGGCGACGAUGCGUAACUGGUUUGAGAGGACGACCGAGCCACGCUGGGACUGACGACACUGCCCAGACUCGCUACGGGAGGCAACUGUGGGGAAUUUUGGACAAUGGGGGAAACCCUGAUCCAGCCGAUCCCAUCGAUGUGCGAUGAAGGCCUUCGGGUUGUAAAGCACUUUUGUCAGGGAAGAAAAGGUUUCGGAUAAUACCCGGAGCUGAUGACGGUACCUGAAGAAUAAGCACCGGCUAACGUACGUGCCAGCAGCCGCGAGUAAUACGUAGGGUGCAAGCGUUAAUCGGAAUUACUGGGCGUAAAGCGUGCGCAGGCGGUUCGGAUAAGAAAGAUGUGAAAUCCCAGGGCUCAACCUUGGAACUGCAUUUUUAACUACCGAACUAGAGUAUGUCAGAGGGGGGGUGGAAUUCCACGUGAUAGCAGUGAAAUGCGUAGAUAUGUGGAGGAACACCGAUGGCGAAGGCAGCCCCCUGGGAUAAUACUGACGCUACUAUGCACGAAAGCGUGGGGCAGCAAACAGGAUUAGAUACCCUGGUAGUCCACGCCCUAAACGAUGUCAACUACCUGUUGGGCCCUUCGGGGCUUACGUAGCGCAGCUAACGCGUGAAGUUGACCGCCUGGGGAGUACGGUCGCAAGAUUAAAACUCAAAGGAAUUGACGGGGACCCGUCACAAGCGGUGGAUGAUGUGGAUUAAUUCGAUGCAACGCGAAAAACCUUACCUACCCUUGACAUGUCUGGAAUCCUGAAGAGAUUUAGGAGUGCUCGCAAGAGAACCGGAACACAGGUGCUGCAUGGCUGUCGUCAGCUCGUGUCGUGAGAUGUUGGGUUAAGUCCCGCAACGAGCGCAACCCUUGUCAUUAGUUGCUACAUUUAGUUGAGCACUCUAAUGAGACUGCCCGGUGAACAACCCGAAGAAAGGUGGGGAAUGACGUCAAGUCCUCAUGGGCCCUUAUGGGGUAGGGCUUCCCACGUCCAUACAAUGGUCGGGAACGAAGGUUUCCCAA
rnacentral:rRNA from 1 species